GAAGAGGUGGUCCCUGUGUCAUCCUGGCAGGGCCUAGACCAGGGAGGGCUCAUGGUGCUUAAAGAAAGCAUUUGAGGCUCCCAGGGCCCGGGCAGGCUGAUCACCUCUCUGUCACGCUUCUCUGUCUUUGGUGAGCCUCGGGUGUCUGGAGGGCUUGUGGAACACAGGUUCCUGGGCUCCUCCCCCUCCGAUUGAGACUCAGAAGGUCUGGGGUGGAUCCUGAGAACCUGCAUUACUGACAAGCUGGUGAGGAUGCUGGAGGGUGUGCAGGGCCACCCUGUGAGUGGCACCCGACUAGAAGCAGUGGCCUCUGGGAGACAGCAGCUCUGCCUGCCCUUCAUCUGGGGGCUGCCCUGCAUGCCCCAUCAGGAUUGCCUCACGCAGAGGAGGUGGGAAGCUCUGCAGACGGUGUGGAGUGUUUGGGCUUUGCUUUGAGCACAGCAAGAGGGCUUGCAAAGACCUGAAGCAAGAGGACAAGCCACGCCAGGGCCAAAGCCGAGGCAUCGGAACAGGCUGCUCUGGCCGCCAACCAGGAGUCGAACAUUGCCCGCACUCUGGCCAGGGAGCUGGCUCCGGACUUCUACCAGCCAGGUCCGGAAUAUCAGAAGCGCCGGCUGCUGCAGGAGAUCCU